ACAUUCUGUCUGAGAGAUCAGCAGCACGUGGAAGAAAAAUGUGCCCUGCUUCUGUCAACAUCAAUAGCAUGGGAACAGGACAUCUCUGAGCCUGAGUAAAGGCAGGAACAGAGACACCCAAGGGCCUUUAUAAGGACCUGGCAAGAAGAAAAACUACUAAGUUGGAGUGGGUCUGUUGUCUGAUUAUUAAGAAGAGUAUUGUUGGCGAAGAAAGCUUCCACAGCACAGUAGAAGUCCUGUGAAACACCAAGUGUUGAUGGUACCUCGUUGUGAAGGAUACAUCUAACUCCAGGGUUGGUGGCCGACUUGCAGGGGGAAGACUCAACCCAAAGGGCUCAUAUUGCCCAGAGUCAGGACGCAUGACUCUAAUGAAGACACCUUGCCAUCACAUUCAGCUGGGCAAAGCAGAAAUGGAAUGGUCAUUUCCAGGACAUGUUUGUGAGCUUGUUGUCAUCCUGCAGUGCUUUUUGACGCACUGAGGGUUUAGGAACAGAGAAAAGAGCCAUUUCCUCAUGAGUCAGGAGAAAUGGGGUACCAGGCAUAAGCAACACUCUAAGGACCACUCACUUCCUUGUGUGAGCAACAUUCAACCCCCAGAGAAACUAAUAAACUACAAUAUUCUCAAGAAGUCAACUGAACUGAACACAGACUUGGCCCUUUUGGUUGGGAAGAAUGCUGACACACAAUAUUGUUCACAAGGAGUUGGGUGCUUCAAGGACAAUGACAUUUGUGCAUGGAAACGCCUACCUUCCACUUGCCCGGAGGCCGAUUGUAAACAUGUUAAACAGUUUGCCCAAGGCACUCUAUUCCAGACUGCCUGUCAUAUAAACAACAUUAACAGUUUUGCUGAAGAGAAUAACUAAGUGAUUCUCACCUUACUUUCUACUUUUUCCAGGACUCCAGAGUAAUAUCUGUCCAGCUAGCAUGAACUAUGAAACCCUAGCAAUUGCUGGGAGGCUCGAGGGAGGAAAUAGCUAAAGGGAGAAAAGCAGUCACUGAAACUGCUACAGACACAAGUGAAGAUGUCUUGACUGCCAAAAGAGACUCCCUAGGCUUCCCACAUUAUUAUUCAUAAGAAGAAGGAAGCUGCCAGGCCGGCAGUGAGCACACCUUAAAUCUCAGCAUCGAGAGGC